AGACAGCCACAGAGCUCCUGGCGUGGGCAAGGCUGGCCAAGGAUGGCGACGCCCAGGGGCCUGGGGGCCCUGCUCCUGCUCCUCCUGCUCCUGACCUCAGGUCAGGAAAAGCCCACCGAAGGGCCAAGAAACACCUGCCUGGGGAGCAACAACAUGUACGACAUCUUCAACUUGAAUGACAAGGCUUUGUGCUUCACCAAGUGCAGGCAGUCGGGCAGCAACUCCUGCAAUGUGGAAAACUUGCAGAGAUACUGGCUAAACUAUGAGGCCCAUCUGAUGAAGGAAGGUUUGACGCAGAAGGUGAACACACCUUUCCUGAAGGCUUUGGUUCAGAACCUCAGCACCAACACCGCAGAAGACUUCUACUUCUCUCUGGAGCCCUCUCAGGUUCCGAGGCAGGUGAUGAAGGACGAGGACAAGCCCCCUGACAGAGUGCGACUUCCCAAGAGCCUUUUUCGAUCCCUGACAGGCAACAGGUCUGUGGUCAGCUUGGCCAUCACCAUUCUGGACAUUGGUCCAGGGACUCUCUUCAAGGUGAGGACUCAGGGAAGCUCCAAGGUUAAGUGCUAGGUCCUCUGGGGGCUCCAUGCCACAGCUUGCUGUCACUGGAGCCUGCCGAGGGAUCCAAUGGGGACAGAGCAGGCAGUGAGCCUCUUAGUGUUUCUAAUGCAGCCCGUGGCCAUCUCAGACACCUGUCACUAGAGUCUAUGGUCUUCAGACUCACACUGGUCACACGCUCUCAGAUGUUUGACCCCCACACAUGAGUGCCCUUUGGCUUGUCUAUGUGUCCUGGGGGUGCUUGUGUGCUCUGUGUGUCCUCGUGCAUGCACAAACAUGCACAUCCUUUUCUAUUCUUGUGCACGCACAAGCCCAUGUACUCAGCUGUGAUCAUAUCCACACGAGCAAGUGUACCCAUGCCCUUGCACAUGUGUAUACCAGGUAUGUGCACCCAGAGUUGUGCAUCCACUCCUGUGCAGACGUGUGUACCUCUGAGGGCUAGUGUGCUCCCCCCACCAGCCCCCUUUCUACCGAAUGCACACUCAUGCUAAGACCCUCA
rnacentral:sRNA from 1 species